CUCGUCUCACCCCAGAUAUCCAGUCUCAUUUUUCGUAUGAAAAAGAUUAAUUUAAUUUUCAACUCAAAUGUCAAUUUUCAUUUAAUGAAGGAGGAAAAUCUUCAAUACCCUCGUCCCGUUCGCCUUUAAAGUAAAAGGCUUCUUCAAUUAUAUUCGAAUCGUGCAAGCUAGAACUGAUAACGAGACAAAAAGUCGAUCAAUUGAAGCACAUAAUGGCAGAGUUUUCUUGUCCAUGUUCCUCCGCAUAUGAUAUUAAAAGACUAAAAGUUCAAUUUGGAAUAAGAAUGCUUGUGAAAAGAGAAAGUUGUAAGGCACCCGAGCUGAGGCUAGCGCGGUGUGAGAGAAUUCGAAAUAAAGGCGUCAGAUUCCUCAUUGUCUGAAAUGUAAAAUGAACCAAACGGCACAGUCUCUGCAUGUUAGGGAUUAACUUGCUGGAGAAGCAAUGGGCUGAACACCCUUCCUAGCUUUUGUUAAGGGAAGGGGAGUGGGGAUAAUUUCCGUAUCCAUUCCAUUUUUAGAUUUGGUAAAGCAUUUACAAAAAUAGAAAUAAAAUUAGAGCAAGAUGCGACAGUAACAUGAUUGUGAAAUGCAAGACCACAGAUAGUUCC